UUGGUGAUUAAUCAGCAUUGAUAGUCGAUCAGUAACUAUCAGCUAUCAGCUAAAAUCCAUGCUGAUAACCAAGAGCGUAAAGGCCUAAAUAGUUUACACAGACGACUGGUUGUGUUAUCUAGAGGAGCCUAAAUCUAUGAUGCACAUAAAAACCAAUCACAGAUUGAUAAGGAGAACCCUUGUUGUCUGUGGAAGCUCUGAGAGAUCAUGGAUUACAUCAAAACAUUAUCAUAACUUUUGUUCUCAAAGGGAUUGUGUUCCUUUAAAGGGAAACUUCAGCCAUAAAUCAAUAUUUGUCAUAAUUUACUCACCCUCAUGUCCUUCCAAAUCUUUUUCAUUUCUUAAUGAAUCCAGAAAAAAUGAUCGGAGAUUCCAAGAAAAUAUGAAGCAGCACAACCAUUUCACCACUGAUAUUAAGAGAAUCAGAUCAGUAUAUGAGAAUGAUUGCUGAAGAUCAUGUGACACUGAAGACUGGAGUAAUGACUGGAGAAAAUUCAGUUUUUCUGUGUUUGAAGUGUUUUCCUGCAUUUGUUUGUGAGGUUUCUUGUCCUGUGUGUUCUGCCAUGUGUUCAGAAGACUUUAUUGAAGCACAUGCAAGUACCUGUGGGGAAAGAGCUGACGAUAGACCAAACCAAGAUUUCAUCAUAACAGGACAAAAGCAAGACAAGCACAAGAGAUGCAAUUAAGUUUAAUUUAUAGUGACUUUUAUAAUAAAUUUUUGUUUAAUAUUAGAUUAUUUGAGGGAGGGAGCACUGGGAAAAAAUCUGAUGUAUUCAAUUACAGACUUGCAGAAUGACAAUUUCAGGAAGGUUUAUUAUCAUUACAGCUGGGUAAAAAAACACUGAUGUCUCAAUUUUAAUCGAACCAAUCUCAUCUUUAUAAACUGAUUGGUAAAUCCCAAGGAUGGAUCGUCUCUUUACAGCUGAUGAAUGAACAGAACAUUAUAGCACAUCUCUCAUCCAUUAAACCACAAUAGGCUUUGUGCUUUGUUACUUUUGAUAAGAAACAAAUUCUCAGAUUUGAAUUCUGUUCAUCUUAUCUUGAAAUGUAACCAAUAAAUCUGUCUGUGGUGCUCUCUAUCUAAUGCAGUGACGAUCACGCAGUGUGUCUCAGGUCAAGUGAAGCGGCAGCAUGCAGCACACUUGAAAGAUCACGUCUUCCUCUGUUUUUAACACCAGUUACGGGCUACAGCGCCAAAUAAACAUGAAUGAAUGCCAAAGGGUCUGUAAACAGAUACAGGACAAUUUACUGACAUGAAUCCUGUCACAUGUAAUCGCUCAAUCAGUUCAACAACGGACCGGGCGUCUGACCAGUCAGAGCAGAGAGGGCUUGUGGAAAAGACUGAAGAUUUGGAUCACUUCACACUUUUGAAUAUAAACUUGUUGUAGGAAACCUCUAAAACAAUUGUAAAAUAGUAUAUUAGGGGCACUUUAAAAAUGUGAGGUAUUGUCAGUCCAAGUUCAGAGACUGUUAACACAAGUAAGGUUGCAGACAUAGAUGUGUGUGUUUUCUGCAGAAGAAGGGAGCAGCAGUAAGGAGAGCAGGGUUGAAGAUGACAGCGAACAGGUGAUAAAACAAACUGCACUAAAGGAGAUGCAGAACAAGACAAGAUCACCGUCAGCAGUUUCAUGCAG